GCAAGAAUGUUUAAAGUCGACAGAUAUUCUCUUAAUAAACCCAAACAUUUUCAGAGCCUUACAAGUUACUCUUUCGAUAUGCAAAUGGAAGCAUAGACAACGAUCAAACGUGAUACCCAAGUCGAUCACAGAAUCGCCAGUUUUUUAGCUUCGCAGUUGUAGAUCCGGUAACAUUUACAAACAGAUGGUAUUCAUUACGUUCGAUGUUAUGUACCUAUACGCAGU